UACAGAGGGUGCGAGCGUUGUCCGGAAUCACUGGGCGUAAAGGGCGCGUAGGUGGCGACCCAAGUCGUGGUGAAAGCUCGUCGCUUAACGACGAGUCGGCCACGGAGACUGGGUGGCUCGGAGCACUGUAGGGGCAGAUGGAAUUCCGGGUGUAGCGGUGGAAUGCGUAGAGAUCCGGAAGAACACCAGUGGCGGAAGGCGGUCUGCUGGGCAGUUGCUGACACUGGAGGCGCGACAGCUGGGGAGCAAACAGG
rnacentral:rRNA from 1 species